rnacentral:rRNA from 1 species
UACGUAGGAGGCAAGCGUUGUCCGGAAUUAUUGGGCGUAAAGAGCUCGUAGGCGGUCUGUUGCGUCCGCUGUGAAAACUCGGGGCUUAACCCCGAGCCUGCAGUGGAUACGGGCAGACUAGAGGUAGGUAGGGGAGAAUGGAAUUCCCGGUGUAGCGGUGAAAUGCGCAGAUAUCAGGAGGAACACCGGUGGCGAAGGCGGUUCUCUGGGCAUUACCUGACGCUGAGGAGCGAAAGUGUGGGGAGCGAACAGG